rnacentral:rRNA from 1 species
AACGAACGCUGGCGGCAUGCCUAACACAUGCGAGUCGAACGAGACCUUCGGGUCUAGUGGCGCACGGGUGCGUAACGCGUGGGAACCUGCCCUUAGGUUCGGAAUAACUCCCCGAAAGGGGUGCUAAUACCGGAUAAUGUCUUCGGACCAAAGAUUUAUCGCCUUUGGAUGGGCCCGCGUUGGAUUAGCUAGUUGGUAGGGUAAAAGCCUACCAAGGCGACGAUCCAUAGCUGGUCUGAGAGGAUGAUCAGCCACACUGGGACUAAGACACGGCCCAGACUCCUACGGGAGGCAGCAGUGGGGAAUAUUGGACAAUGGGCGAAAGCCUGAUCCAGCAAUGCCGCGUGAGUGAUGAAGGCCUUAGGGUUGUAAAGCUCUUUUACCCGGGAUGAUAAUGACAGUACCGGGAGAAUAAGCUCCGGCUAACUCCGUG